rnacentral:rRNA from 1 species
CCUACGGGAGGCAGCAGUGAGGAAUAUUGGUCAAUGGACGAGAGUCUGAACCAGCCAAGUAGCGUGAAGGAUGACUGCCCUAUGGGUUGUAAACUUCUUUUAUAUGGGAAUAAAAUGUUCCACGUGUGGGAUUUUGUAUGUACCAUAUGAAUAAGGAUCGGCUAACUCCGUGCCAGCAGCCGCGGUAAUACGGAGGAUCCGAGCGUUAUCCGGAUUUAUUGGGUUUAAAGGGAGCGUAGGUGGAUUGUUAAGUCAGUUGUGAAAGUUUGCGGCUCAACCGUAAAAUUGCAGUUGAAACUGGCAGUCUUGAGUACAGUAGAGGUGGGCGGAAUUCGUGGUGUAGCGGUGAAAUGCUUAGAUAUCACGAAGAACUCCGAUUGCGAAGGCAGUUCACUGGACUGCAACUGACACUGAGGCUCGAAAGUGUGGGUAUCAAACAGGAUUAGACACCCGAGUAGUC